UGGUGUUGUGUCCACUCGCCACAUAUUUCACGGUACAGCGCCCAAGCACACCCGCUCUGAGUGGGUGGUCACUUCCAUCCCCGCUUGUAACCUUAUUGCAUGUAACUAUCUGCGAUGUACGAUGAGACGUUAGAGAAGGUGUUAAAAGUGACAGUUGGUCGACACGCCAGGGUCCUACAGAAGGACCUUUCUAGAAUAAUAUAC
rnacentral:misc_RNA from 1 species